AUGCUCCCCAGAAUCUAGGGUUCUUCGGCAUUUUUAGGGUUUAUCAGUGUCGAGCAAUGCCGCGCAAGGGGAGCCGGCAGAGCUACUACGACGACAGCUAUGAUGACUACUACGAUGACUACGAGGAGGAAGAUUACGCCGACAGCAGCUCAGCCUCAGCUCCGGGAACAGCGCCGCAGCAACCAAUCUGGGCUUGCCCCAUCUGUACAUACGAUAAUCUGGAGGAACAUCAGUCGUGUGAGAUGUGUGGAGUGGUGCGAGACUCUCCAGCUCCAAUUCACGCUUCCGUUAGAAGUGCGCGUCCAAGGGCUGAGCCUUCGCAGCUUGCAACGUCCUUGUUUGCUCCUCUCCCUCCUCUGGCACUCAAGAAAGGCAUAACAUCCGAGAGCAUUAAGCAAACUUUCCAGUCACGCAGUGACGGAGACCUUGUGUCCUCCUCUAGCUCCUCCCCGAUAGUGCCCUUCAAGUUUGACGGACCUUCUCCAGAUGAUGCAAUACUCGGAGCAGUACAAGGAAGCAAAAAGCCCGUGCAAGCUAACAGCCAUGCAAGAGCAAAGUCCAAAGCAGCAGCGCCUACUUCGGAUUCACCUGGAAACCAGAGCAAGCUGAGCGACAAGGAGCACGGCGUAUCCGAAAAGCUGAAAAAGAGCCUGGUCCUUGACGGUGAUAGCGAAGACGUCAAAGAAAGCUCAAAGCAACGGUUGCAGUCUACGAGUAACAAGGGGUUGCCGCUGGAAAGCUACAAGCCCGAGCCAUGGAUGAUGCACCUAGGAUCAAAAACUGCGGAGAAGAGCUUGUUAAACCUUGUAGUGGUUGGACAUGUUGAUGCUGGCAAGUCCACAUUGAUGGGAAGAAUCCUGUAUAGCCUGGGACGAGUUUCUCACAAGGAAAUGCACAAGAACACAAAGGAGGCUAACGAGAUGGGAAAAGGUUCUUUUGCGUACGCUUGGGCGCUUGACGAGGGCGUUGAGGAGAGGGCACGGGGUGUUACUAUAACGGUUGCCGUGGCUCACUUUGAGACAGCUAAACUACGUGUCGUACUGUUGGACGCCCCCGGUCACAAGGACUUCGUGCCUAACAUGAUUUCUGGAGCUUCGCAAGCUGAUGCUGCUGUUCUUGUUGUUGACGCCGCGGAAGGUGGCUUUGAAGCUGGAAUGGGAGCAGAAGGCCGCGAGAGUGGCCAGACAAGAGAGCAUGCUCAAUUAGUUCGGAGCCUUGGAGUAAGCCAGCUUGUUGUAGCUGUGAACAAGAUGGAUGAGGUGCAGUAUUCGCAAGAGAGGUUUGAAGAGAUCAAGCGCAUCCUUACUCCGUUUUUACGACAUUGUGGAUUUCGGGACUCGAGCGUGUCCUACGUUCCUGUCAGUGCAAUCGCUGGAGAGAACCUGGUCUCAACUCCGAGUGAUGAAUUGUUUCGAGCGUGGUACACAGGCAAAGACGGCACGCUCCUUGACGCUCUAAACAGGCUUGAGCCUCCGGAGAGAGACAUCGCCAAGCCUUUCAGACUGGCUGUAGCUGAAGUCGUAAGAUCACGUUCCCUUGGUUCUGCUGCUGCGGGUGGGAAAGUCGAGAGUGGAGCCAUAAAAAUUGGGAGCAAGGUAAUGGUAAUGCCUUCAAGGGAGGUGGGGGUUGUCAAAAGUCUAGAGCAGGACGGGAAAGCUCUGCAAGCAGCAAGAGCCGGUGAUGGCGUGGAUAUUGGUCUACAGGGAGUUGAUGCCGGUGUGAUAGUCCCCGGGGGAGUUCUAUGCCAUCCCGAUUACCCGGUCCCGAUUGCCACGCGUUUCGAACUGAGAAUCCUGACACUGAAACUCGCGUUCCCGAUGCUUCCCGGUGCCCAGGUGGUUGUGCAUGCACAUCAUGCAAAGGAGCCAGGUACUGUCACGAAUCUGACGGCUUUGAUCGAUGCAAAAACUGGCCAAGCCGUCAAGCGGUCCCCACGUUGCUUGACGUCUAACCAAAGCGCGUUGGUCGAGGUGGCACCGGAGCGGGGAUUAUGUGUUCAAGAGUAUAUAAAGUUUCGUGGCCUUGGACGAGUUGUUUUGCGGAGCGAAGGGCGGACACUGGCGGUGGGAAUCAUCACGCGGAUCAUCUCCUAUCAAUAGCCGUGAUUGGCAAUUUUGGUAGCAACAGGCAUGGCUCAUCACCACCACCACCACCACCAGCAGGAGCAGGACGCAGCCUAUGGCAACGAUGUAAAUUCUCCUUAUCAAGCGGCUUAUGGGAAUCCUGCUUACCAGCCGUCGCCUUACGAGCAGUCCUCAUAUCAGCAGUCGUCUUACGAGCAGUCCCCUUACGCGAAUCCUCCACCUGCGGCUUACGGCCACCAGUUUCCUCAAUCCAGCUACGAGGAACGGCAGCGUGAGCAGCAGCUAGAGGAGCAGCGAGCUUUUGGGACUUAUGAGCAAGAGGUGAAGGCUGACAGGAAACGUGAACACUAUGGAGAGGCCGCAGCUCUUGCAGCUGGUGCCUUUGCAAUGUAUGAAGCACACGAGGUGAAGGCGGAUCCAGAGCACGCUCGCACUCACAAAAUCGAAGAGGAAAUUGCUGGGGUUGCGGCUCUCGGAUCUGGAGGCUAUGCCCUCUAUGAGCACCACGCCGUAAAGACGACCGAACGCCGUGAGGACGAAGUUGAAGGGAAGAAGCACCAUCACCAUCACCUGUUUUAAAGCAUCUAUCUCUACCUGUUUGUAGCGUUUUUCCGUGCCGGGAACAAGCGAGGUACCUUUUCUACCAAAAAAUGUUUAUUCACAGCUACUCAAUAAAAUGUGUGGCAAAGUUACUGGUGGCCUUGGGCCUCUUC